CCGGUUGAUCCUGCCGGAGGCUACCGCUAUUGGAGUUCGAUUAAGCCAUGCGAGUCGCGAGUCUUAGGGACUCGGCGUACCGCUCAGUAACACGUGGGUAACCUGCCCUAUGCUGGGGGAUAACCUCGGGAAACUGAGAAUAAUACCCCAUAGUUCACCACGCCUGGAACGGUUGGUGGACCAAAGCUCCGGCGGCAUAGGAUGGGCCUGCGGCGUAUCAGGUUGUAGGGGGUGUAAUGUACCCUCUAGCCCUCUACGCGUACGGGUGUUGAGAGACAUCGCCCGGAGAUGGAUUCUGAGACACGAAUCCAGACCCUACGGGGUGCAGCAGGCGCGAAAACUUGGCAAUGCGAGAAAUCGUGACCAGGGAACUCCAAGUGCAUCGGGUAAGACCGAUGCUUUUCUUGACUCUUCAAAGGUCUUGGAAUAAGGGGUGGGUAAGGACGGUGCCAGCCGCCGCGGUAAUACCGGCGCCCCAAGUGGUAGUCGCUUUUAUUGGGCCUAAAACGUCCGUAGCCGGUCUGGUACAUUCGUGGGUAAAUCAACCAGCUCAACUGGUUGAAUUCUGCGAGCACGGCCAGACUUGGGACCGGGAGAGGUGUGGGGUACUCUCAGGGUAGGGGUAAAAUCCUGUCAUCCUGAGAGGACCACCUGUUGCGAAGGCGCCACACUAGAACGGAUCCGACGGUCAGGGACGAAGCCUAGGGGCACGAACCGGAUUAGAUACCCGGGUAGUCCUAGGUGUAAACGCUGUGGACUUGAUGUUGGGGGCGCUCCGAGCGCACUCAGUGUCGAAGCGAAGGUGAUAAGUCCACUGCCUGGGGAGUACGGUCGCAAGGCUGAAACUUAAAGGAAUUGGCGGGGGAGCACCGCAACCUGAG
rnacentral:rRNA from 1 species